GGCAACCAAGCCAGGGGCUCCAGCCGCAUAAAGUCCCUGCACAGCACCCCUAGGGCUGAGGCAUCUCGGGCAGCGUGUAGCCCAGGCACAGGGGGCCUGGACUCAGGCAGUGACCGUGAGGCACACCGAACAAGUGCUGGAUUCGAAGGAUGGAGAGAAAGCAAGGGAACAGGAGGGUCGGCCUGGGUCGUGGGGAAAUGAUGCGUUCUUUUCGGCCGCCCUGUGCUUGAGGGACGUGCAGAAGCCUAACAGGAAGUGGAUCAGGCUUCUGGAGUCGGGCUGGAUCCAGCUCCUCCUUUCAUCAGCCUACUUGGCCUGUUACCUUGAGCGAACAACUCGAUCACUCUAAGCCUGUUCUUUCCUCUAUAAGUAAAUCUGAAGCUCAGAAAAAAGAUUCUGACGUCGUCAAAAGGAGCUUGAAACCAUGGGAAUAAAUGACUCAGAGUGUGGAUGAUGAGAAGGGAGCACCGACGUUUCGGGAGUGGACGGGGAAGAGGCGCCUAAGGAGCAGUGGUCAGCGGAGGAGGAGGAACGCCGGCAAUCAGAGCCUGGCGUCACGGAAGCCACACGCGAGACGCAGCCGCACAGCCGAUGCUCUGUCUCGCUCCCUCCUUCCCGACGGGACCUGAUGCAGGUAGGGUAAGCCCUCUCCUCUGGAUGUCUGUGUGCCUCAGAGGAGGCAGCCCACAGCCCCAGCUCCAAACCAGGCAGUGGGUCCUCACUGGAAACCGCGUUUCUCUUGCCAGUGAUCGGUUUACGAAGGUGUAUUUGAUCCCCUUCUGGCCAAUGCGACCUAAUGGAGAGUCAGCUCGGGGACGUUUGGGAAAGAUUCCCUUGAG